CCUACGGGAGGCAGCAGUGAGGAAUAUUGGUCAAUGGGCGAAAGCCUGACCCAGCCAAGUCGCGUGAAGGAUGAAGGAUCUAUGGUUUGUAAACUUCUUUUAUAUGGGAAUAAAGUGAGGAACGUGUUCCUUUUAGUAUGUACCAUAUGAAUAAGCAUCGGCUAACUCCGUGCCAGCAGCCGCGGUAAUACGGAGGAUGCGAGCGUUAUCCGGAUUUAUUGGGUUGAAAGGGUGCGUAGGUGGUUAAUUAAGUCAGCGGUGAAAGUUUGUGGCUCAACCAUAAAAUUGCCGUUGAAACUGGUUGACUUGAGUAUAUUUGAGGUAGGCGGAAUGCGUGGUGUAGCGGUGAAAUGCAUAGAUAUCACGCAGAACUCCGAUUGCGAAGGCAGCUUACUAAACUAUAACUGACACUGAAGCACGAAAGCGUGGGGAUCAAACAGGAUUAGAUACCCCAGUAGUC
rnacentral:rRNA from 1 species